rnacentral:rRNA from 1 species
UACGUAGGGUGCGAGCGUUAAUCGGAAUUACUGGGCGUAAAGGGUGUGUAGGUGGCGCCGUAAGUCGGGUGUGAAAUUUCGGAGCUUAACUCCGAAACUGCAUUCGAUACUGCGGUGCUUGAGGGCUGGAGAGGAGACUGGAAUUCAUGGUGUAGCAGUGAAAUGCGUAGAGAUCAUGAGGAAGACCAGUGGCGAAGGCGGGUCUCUGGACAGUUCCUGACACUGAGACACGAAGGCCAGGGGAGCAAACGGG